AAGAAGAUGCUUGGUUACACACCUUACCAGGGUCUCAGGGAUUCGCCACUUAACCAGUUGGUCCUCAAGUUUCAUCCAGCUCUGGUUUCUGUGACUCUGUAAGGGCAAGGACGAUUUUCUGGUGGCUUCACGUGGUAGAAUGACAGGUUGAUGGGCAAAGACUGGAAAGUCCACCUGAUGUUAUUUCAGUUGGCUAGAGCCUAUAAACAUUCAUUGCUGCUGUGCUUAGUUUGGACAUACAGAGAUUAACAAGAUACAGGGUUGGUUCUGGGCAAUCUCCUGUGAUUGAUGACUAGAAAAUCAGAUAUUAACACAACCCCUAAGCCCAUACCUCUUGCACACUUGUACCAAUAUCACCUUGUGUUCUUUUGUCUUCUGACCUUCCCUCUGGGAAAGUACUAGCAACUCUGAGACAGAGUAUCACAGUCCCCUGGCUAAGAGCUUCCACUUGCAGUUAGGAGAAUGGAGUCCCUAUAAUGUUAUUAGUUACAAACAGAGAAGCUAAAAUGCUUAUUCCUCUGGGAGAGGCAACCCAGACCUCAGAUUGCAUUAGGAUCUGCAUGAUUAACAGCAGCUCAUUUCCUGGAUGCUGACUUUGGUCAGGGGAGUGAAGGUGAAGCAGAGGGAGUGGCUCAGCACCAGAGCCUCAGGUCAGCAAGGACAGGGAAGCUUCUGUCUGUAGUGCCCAAGCUACCAGACUCCCAGGGACCGAAGCACAGCUCCAAAUGCAGCUGAAUCUGGGCCUCUACCUGCCAGCCACCAACCCCUCCCCUGAUCCCAGUGAUUUCUAAGCGCUGCUCAGAAGGAUCUGCCACAGCUCAGUCCUGUCCUUUUGUUUGGAGUCCCUCCCUACAAUGACUUAACCCUGUGUUGCCAACCAAGAGGCCGCCUCUCCCUCCCCCCGUGACUCCCUUCCCUCCCCACCCCAAUCCCUGCCACAGCUCUUAGUGCACAUGUGCUCCCCUCUUUCAAACAGAUAAGUAAAAUCUUUUUAAAAAUAAAAUAAUAUAAAGCUGAGUGUAAAAAAAAAUUAAA